GACGAACGCUGGCGGCGUGCUUAACACAUGCAGGUCGAGCGGUAAGGCUCCUUCGGGAGUACACGAGCGGCGAACGGGUGAGUAACACGUGAGUAAUCUGCCCUUCACUUCGGGAUAACCACCGGAAACGGUGGCUAAUACCGAAUACGACCAGUCUUCGCAUGAGGUGCUGGUGGAAAGUCUUUUCGGUGAAGGAUGUGCUCGCGGCCUAUCAGCUUGUUGGUGGGGUAAUGGCCUACCAAGGCUUCGACGGGUAGCCGGCCUGAGAGGGUGACCGGCCACACUGGGACUGAGACACGGCCCAGACUCCUACGGGAGGCAGCAGUGGGGAAUAUUGGACAAUGGGCGAAAGCCUGAUCCAGCAACGCCGCGUGAGGGAUGACGGCCUUCGGGUUGUAAACCUCGUUCAGUACCGACGAAGCGCCCUGUCGGGUGGUGACGGUAGGUACAGAAGAAGGACCGGCCAACUACGUG
rnacentral:rRNA from 1 species